CCUAGACCUAUAAUUACCCCAAUCUGUAAGCAGGGGUGGACUCCAGCGCUAGCUGGUGUCCCCGUCUACAGGCCUUUGUUCAAUAAACCUGUGUUGCCAUAGAGCCAUCUCCAUUCCGUUCCUUCUCCCUUCCUUGCUCUCAGUUCUGAAACCCGGGACGACGCUUGGGUUCACUUGGAGGAAUCCCUUUUUGCAACCUGGGAAGCAGUGAGCAGCGGCAGCUCAUCCCAGGAGGCUCCAGCAAGGAUCACUCCAAUUACUGGACAUCAUAUCCAACACCAGUCUCCGAUUUCUGGAUGGUCGCUGCAAUUACAGGUGAAGUGAUAACCACUUCCCAGCAAAAAGGUGAGAUCAGGGAGUUCCAAAUCUUUAUCUCAGGUUCAGAUGUCCUUUCCACACCUGUACAGAUGCCGUCACUCCAUCAUUCUGACACCAGAUGCCAAGUGAGUAACUCAUGCUUUUCAAGUAAGUUUCAGGUCCUUAGAUGGAAACUAUCUCAGAAAAUUCAGUAUUAAUUGUUCUCUGUAAAACAUUUCUGGGUUUGGAACACGAAAGAGUUUAUAUAGCAGGAAGGUCAUUUGCUGAGAAAACUAGACACACAUAGCAUCCUGUCUAUAUGCCACAGAUAAAGACUUGAUGCUACAGACAUGUUAAGAACAGUUAGAUGACAAUGGUAAGCUCUUGGUACUGUGCAGAUACCUGGUGUCUGUGAGAGAGGUGCUGAUAUGUGCAUUUCUUCUGUGAAACAGCAGGUUGUGCAAACUGGAAUCUGUAAUGUCUCCACAUUCUGUCAUCAGCAGAAGACUCUGAACAUUUUUCUACCGUUUAAAUGAGUCUCAAUUAUCCAAUUUAUAAUAAUGCAAAUUUUACUUACAGAUAAAUAUGGGGGAGUAGAGGAGGGUUGUGAGUUUCAGCCAUGAAAAAUUCAUGGAGCUUAAAAAUUCCUAAGUAUCUCACCCUGCAAACAGAUAAUUAUAUUUCUAAAAGUGUCUUGACAUUCUCAUUCUCAUGUACUCACAGUACUCUUCUCUAUCCUCAAAGUUUCUGAAUUGCUUCUCUGUUCCUGUCUCCUCUGUUAUUCUGCCUCCCUCCUCCCUUCCUUGCCUAGUUUAAGUGGAUUUUUAGCAAACAAAAGUGUUGACUAGAGGCUGUGAGUGAAGGGCAUUUUUACCUCCCCUGGCCCCCAGUGUAGAUUCCUCUUCUGUCUACACAGAAUCCUUCAGAUCAGGAUAAAAUUGAGCCUUCCUUACUAGUUACUACGAUUUUUGAAGAAUUGGUGUGAUUGAUAACCACAGCAACAGUGUUUGGACUUUAGAGAAACUUUAUUCAUGCCCACACUAUGUCUACUGACCUACAUUUUGUUACUUAAAUUCAUUUUAAGAUUUCUCUUCCAAAAGUUUUCCAGUUAUUCUCCUCUUUUGAUUCAUUGAUCCCCUAUAUUUUUAUUUUACCAGUAAUUUCAUAACUUCUCUUAAUAUUAAAAUAUUUUAAUGAAUAUUUGGAAUAAACGUAUGUGUCUAUGGUGAAUACUCACUGGGACACACUAUACCCCUCCUUCUUCCACAACCUCAACCUAAGGAAGGAACACUGUCUACAAGUGGUGAGGAUCCUUCCAGAUAGAUUUCCAUUAAUUUACAUAAAUUUUGCAAGAUCUCCCUUAACUCACCUCUGCUUGACUUACUGCUGAGUAAAUUCUUUCUCCAUAUUCCCUUCAUGUAACGUGCUAAUCAGUGACCAUAAAUCACACAUGAUUGUUACUGGUAGAAUCAAUGCUUUCAACUCCAACACGUCUGUCUCCACAGGUUGAUGUAUAUAUUUAUCAACAGGGAGUUUUCUCCUCCCAAAAGUAAUGCCAUUUGCUCUAUUUAUUCAAUGGCAUAAGUGGUUUACUGUAAUAAAAACUACUAAACUAUAAUCACAAAAAGGAAAACUUUUUAUUUUUAUAAAGCCUAAAUAAAAUGUGCCAGAAACAAAAAUUAGAGAUUCUUUAAAAAUGCUAUUGAGGUAAAAGUGAGUGAUAAAAGUAGACCUGUAUAAAUACAAGUCUGUGAAUAUUCUGUACUCAGAAUUUUGACAUCUUUAAGUGUUUUAGCUUACUUUAAAGAACUACCAUGCUGGGCGCGGUGGCUCACGCCUGUAACCCCAGCACUUUGGGAGGCUGAGGUGGGCAGAAAAUCUGAGGUCAGGAGUUCAAGACCAGCCUGGCCAACAUGAUAAAACCCGUCUCUACUAAAAAUAAAAAAAUUAGCUGGAUGUGGUGGUGCACGCCUGUAGUCCCAGCUACUCAGGAGGCUGAGGCAGGGGAAUCACUUGAACCUGGAAGGCAGAGGCUGCAGUGAGCUGAGAUUGCACCACUACACUCCAGCCUGGCCAACAGAGCGAGACUCUGUCUCAAAAAAAAAAAAAGGAAAAGAAAAAAAGAACUGCCAAUUGUAAAUUUGUAAAUCAUGUUUAAUUAUAGUUUAUGAUAGAAAAUAAAAGAAACAUAAAAUUUCUUACAGAAGAAUUUAACCCAUAACAAAGUUUGAGCAAAGUAAUACAAGCUACAAUUAAAAUAAGUCAUUUCAAUUUCAUUUGAAUGUGAGCCAAACAUUUUAUGUUUUUAUUUUUUUCUCAGGAUUAUAUCUUUUUAUAUGUUGUAUUUUUUUCUUUUAUCUGGCUAUUAACAAUAGUAAAGUGAUUGAUAACUUUCUCUUUUACAUUCUAUGUAUUUAAAUAUCUUAUUUAGAUUAUUUUAAUUUGCAAUUAUUUUUCAUUAAUAUUUCAUUUUAUUAAAAAUUGCCUUUUUUCAGUGUUUACAUAUUAAUGGCUUACUUAUCCAAGAUUGUAAAAAUAUACAAAUAUUUUUACCGCUGAGAGAUUUGGUUUUUUGUUUGUCUGUUUUUGUUUUUUGAGAGGGAGUCUCACUCUAUUGCCCAGACUGGAGUGCAGUGGCACAAUGUCAGCUCACUGCAGCCUCCUCCUCCUGGUUCAAGUGAUUCUCCUGCCUCAGCCUCCCAUGAAACUGGGACUACAGGCUUGAGCCACCACGCCCAGCUAAUUUUCGUAUUUUUAAUAGAGAUGGGUUUCACCAUGUUGGCCAGGCUGGUCUUGAACUACUGACCUCAAGUGAUCCACCUGCCUUGGCCUCCCAAAGUGUUGAGAUUACAGGCGUGAGUCACUACACCCAGCCUAAGACUAUUCUUUACUUUGGGUUUUUUGUUGUUGUUGUUGUUUAACAGGCUGUCAUUUGUCACCCAGGCUGGAGUAGAGUGGCACGAUCUCAGCUCACUGCAGCCUCAACCUCCUGGGUUCAAGAGAUCCUCCUGCCUCAGCCCCUUUUCUGCCCCUCACCCCCCACCCCCAAUAGCUGGAACUACGGACGUACCACCACUUCCAGCUAAUUUUUGUACUUUUUGUAGAGACUGGAUUUCAUCAUGUUUCCCAGGCUGUCUCCAACUCCUGAAAUCAAGUGAUCCGCCCGCCUCGGCCUCCCACAGUGCUGGGAUUACAGGUGUGAGCCACCGCACCCGGGAUUGUUAUUCUUCAC
rnacentral:lncRNA from 1 species